GAAAAUACAUAAGCCACCUGUUUCAGCAGUUAGGAGAUCUAGUCCCCUUCAAUUUUGCAAAGCGACCACUGCCAAGGAGCCUAUCUGAAUUUGUAAGGUGACAAUACUUUGAGCAAUGUUAUCCAGGCUUUCCAUAAAAUCCUUGGACAAGCGUUGGUAAUAGGAUAGGGAAGUUGCAAUCCCGCUAACUCCCAUUCCUACCCCUGCUGUUAUUCCUAGCCGUUGUGUCUGGUGGUUGCAGUUAAAGGUAUAAUGAGGGAUUGGUUGUUGGGAGCUAUAUUAAUUUAGGGACAUACAAUAUUUCUGUCUCCAGUCUACCACUUCCACCAAAGACAAAUCACAGCAGAACCGACCUAACUUCAAAAUAAACUUCAGUCCCGUAUACUGGGCCUGAUUACCCACACAAAGUGCAACAAGAAUCAUUGUCCAUAUAGACUCUCCUAGAUUGGCUUUGCUAGAACAUUUCACAAGGCCAUUUCAGUCAAAGUCCUGAGAAAGUAACCGGUUUCAAUUGUGCCCUAUUACAAAAGAAAACGUGGUUAUUAACUUUAUACAGACAAAUGCCAUGAAUUAAGAAUAUUCAUAAAUAGUUUACAAAUUCUGGAGAAAUUAGAAUACUCAAUACACUUAAAGUGUAUUUCAAGGCUAUAAAUAGCUCAAAAUAAAAAGAUUAUUCAGACUCUGAAAAAACAAAAAGAAGUAGCAAUAUUUCAAACAACAAAAGCCAUACAAAUUAUUUCAGUCUUCCAUUAGUUCAUUUCAGUCCAUGUAAUCAACUCCUGCUCUACUUCAUAUUCAUCUUUAUGAACACAUCAGCCUUUCAAUUAGUGCCUUGGAAGUUUUCUGUCUAAUCCAAUGGCACACUCUCCAAAGUUACCAGAAACCUGCAUUCAAGAGUUCUUUUCAUGAACUCCAAAGAAGUAAGCCUUGGACUGUAGCUGAUUAUAAGUCACUUUUUUUUUUUGAGAAGGAUCACAGCAAAACAUCAAUUAUGGAUGACAAAAGUCUUAAGACAGCCAUAAAGACACAGUUGACAAAUGUGGCUAUUUCUGUGGCUUACAACAAUUUAACAUAAUCAUUACAACAUAUAUUAAGACAUAUCAGAAUUUUAGAACUCUCAUACAAUCCUGGAACACAUAUUAACAACAAAUCUCUAUCAGUAUAACCCAAAGGAAGCUAAACACCACUUCACACUUGACAAUGUUUCCUGUAUAAUUCAAACAUUACAAAUAAGCCUAAUAUGUCACUCUUGAACUUCAGGAAGCCUAAUAUCCAAAAAGUUAGUUUAGGGUCAAAAGUUUUUGAAUUAACUUUUUUCCAUUAGUAUGGUCAUAUCUUUCUUACUAAUUUGUAAGUUAUGUAAUUUAUCAAUUUUUUUGUUGUUGUUCUGUUUCCCAACCUCUAUGUCAGAUAAAGAAUCACCCAGGCCAGACACAAUGGCUCAUGCUUGUGAUCCCAACACUUUGGGAAGCCAAGGUGGGAGAAUUGCUUGAAGCCAGGAAUCUGAGCCCAGCCUGGGCGACAAAGCAAUACCCCUAUCUCUACAAAAAAUAAAAAAUAGCCAGGUGUAGCGACACACACCUGUGGUCCCAGCUGCUCGGGAGGCUGAGCAGGAGGAUGG
rnacentral:lncRNA from 1 species